GCCAGGAAAAGUCAAACCCCUUUCUACGCAGGUUGGGAUCAGUUGCAAUGCUUUGUUUGUCUAUGGUAUUGCACUUGUCCCGGCCUGUUGAGGUUGCUGGGGAUCGUGGC